AAUCAGGAGGAUUAAUGUUAUUGGGAUGCCCACCUAGGAAAGGCCACGGGCCCCGGUUGCCCGCACGUUGUACGGGGAAAAAAAAAUAGGGAGGCAUCGCAGAACAUGGCCUAGGGGAGGCGUACUCGAGCCCGAAGCAUCAUCUUCAUAUGGGGAGCCGGCUGAAAGGACUGUUGAGAAAACACAAGUGAACCUCAUCCAGCGGUUGCAGGGACGUAGGGUGGCGUUCCCCUGGGGUCCCCGGAACCUCCCGAAAUUUAGUAUUAAAUUUAUGUUACCUCAAAGCUGUGUAAGCCUACAUUUGCACAGUGUACCCCAUAAGAAGCUGGGCAGGUGGCUUGUAUGCUCCGACCUCGCACCGAACCGCUCCAUAACGAAAGGUGCAAUAUGGAUUCUAACGUAGACCGUUUUCGGCCAGUGGGGCUGACGAUUCCAUCACUGGUUUACUGUACAACACAUACAUGCACCAACAAAAGUCAUAGGCGCCAAGGAUUUCCACUGUCUCCAGAGGAUCUGGAAGAAACACCAGAAGUUUAAGAAAAGGUUUCGAAGGCGAAGUCAAUGGUAUUGACACCCGACUCAAGCGAAGGUUAGAGGUUCGAAGGCGAUCAGAUACCGCCCUAGUUCUAACCUUAAACGAUGCUGACUAGCGAUCCGCCGCAGUUAUUCCCAUGACCCGGCGGGUAGCUUCCGGGAAACCAAAGUCUUUGAGUUCCGGGGGAAGUAUGGUUGCAAAGCUGAAACUUAAAGGAAUUGACGGAAGGGCACCACCAGGAGUGGAGCCUGCGGCUCAAUUUGACUCAACACGGGGAAACUCACCAGGCCAGGACACCGGAAGGAUUGACAGAAUGAAGGCUCUUUCUCGAUUCGGUGGGUGGUGGUGCAUGGCCGUUCUUAGUUGGUGGAGUGAUCUGUCUGGUUAAUUCCGAUAACGAACGAGACUCUAGCCUGCUAAAUAGUCGACGGAUCUCAACCCCGUUGCCCCCGUUGUCGUUCGCGGCGAUGCGGGGCGCGGGUUCCCCGAAACCCGGUCGUCGUGCGGGCCUCCACCGUCGGUCGGUUAGCGCCGCCGGCGGCGCGCCCCGCGGCGCCGGAAACUGGCGUCCGCUUCGCAGUCUUCUUCUUAGAGGGAUAAGCGGCAGCAAAAAAUAUACUAGCCGCACGAGAGUUUGAGCCAUAACAGGUCUGUGAUGCCCUUAGAUGUUCUGGGCCGCACGCGCGCUACAAUGGAGAGUUCAGCGAGCUGGCCCUGCUCCGAGAGGAGCGGGUAACCUCGUGAAAGCUGUCCUUAAAGGGGAUUGGGGCUUGCAAAUGUUCCCCAUGAACGAGGAAUUCCCAGUAGGCGCAAUUCACCAGAUUGCGCCGAUUUAGUCCCUGCCCUUUGUACACACCGCCCGUCGCUACUACCGAUUGAAUGGUCUAGUGAGGGCACCGGACUGGCGCCCUUGGAGCCGCUACCGCCUCGGCGGGCAGCGCCCUCGGGUCGACGGAAAGGUGUCCAAGCUGGGUCAUUUAGAGGAAGUAAAAGUCGUAACAAGGUUUCCGUAGGUGAACCUGCGGAAG
rnacentral:rRNA from 1 species